rnacentral:rRNA from 1 species
UACAGAGGUCUCGAGCGUUGUUCGGAUUCAUUGGGCGUAAAGGGUGCGUAGGUGGCGCUGUAAGUCAGGUGUGAAAUUUCGGAGCUUAACUCCGAAACUGCAUUUGAUACUGCGGUGCUUGAGGACUGGAGAGGAGACUGGAAUUUACGGUGUAGCAGUGAAAUGCGUAGAGAUCGUAAGGAAGACCAGUGGCGAAGGCGGGUCUCUGGACAGUUCC